GCCUUCAUGAAGCCGGAAUUGCUAGUAAUGGCAGGUCAGCAUACUGCCGUGAAUACGUUCCCGGGCCUUGUACACACCGCCCGUCACACCAUGAGAGUUGGGAAUACCCGAAGCCUGUGAGCUAACUUUUAGAGGCAGCAGUCGAAGGUAGAAUCAAUGAUUGGGGUGAAGUCGUAACAAGGUACC
rnacentral:rRNA from 1 species